rnacentral:ncRNA from 1 species
CACCCAGAAUGCUACACCUGCUGCGAAACAGGGCCGGAAAGUUACAGAUCUCUUUGAACUUCACUAUGAGAGAUGGCUGAAUUGCAAGU